UACGGAGGGUGCAAGCGUUAUCCGGAUUCACUGGGUUUAAAGGGUGCGUAGGUGGGCAGGUAAGUCAGUGGUGAAUUCUCCGGGCUUAACCCGGAAACUGCCAUUGAUACUAUUUGUCUUGAAUACUGUGGAGGUCAGCGGAAUAUGUCAUGUAGCGGUGAAAUGCUUAGAUAUGACAUAGAACACCAAUUGCGAAGGCAGCUGGCUACACAAAUAUUGACACUGAGGCACGAAAGCGUGGGGAUCAAACAGG
rnacentral:rRNA from 1 species